rnacentral:rRNA from 1 species
CCUACGGGGGACUGCAGUAGGGAAUCUUUCACAAUGGGCGAAAGCCUGAUGGAGCAACGCCGCGUGCAGGAUGAAGGUCUUCGGGUUGUAAACUGCUUUUAUAAGCGAGAAAUAUGACGGUAACUUAUGAAUAAGGAUCGGCUAACUACGUGCCAGCAGCCGCGGUCAUACGUAGGAUCCGGGCAUUAUCCGGAGUGACUGGGGGUAAAGCGUUGCGUAGGUGGCAUAAUAAGUAGCUAGUGAAAACUGGUGGCUCAACCAUUCAGACUAUUAGCGAAACUGUUAAGCUCGAGACCGUUAGGGGUAAGUGGAAUUUCUAGUGUAGCAGUGAAAUGCGUAGAUAUUAGGAGGAACACCAAUAGCGAAGGCAGGUUACUGGGACGGUUCUGACGCUAAGGCACGAAAGCGUAGGGAGCAAACAGGAUUAGAUACCCUAGUAGUC